rnacentral:tRNA from 1 species
GCUUCCCGAUAAGGGAGCAGGCCAGUAAAAAGCAUUACCCCGUGGUGGGGUUCCCGAGCGGCCAAAGGGAGCAGACUGUAAAUCUGCCGUCAUCGACUUCGAAGGUUCGAAUCCUUCCCCCACCACCAUAAUUCACCACAGCGCAUGUGGUAACUUCGGUGAGAUUGUGAAAGUUUGCACUCAUCGGGGAAGGGUGAGAACCUUCGACUAAGGUUCGAUUCGAGCGAAAGCGAGAGAGCGUUGCCACAGGCAACGGCCCGAAGGUGAGGAGCGAAGCGACGAAUAAUCCUUCCCCCACCACCAUCUCAAGCAUUACCUCAAAAUUUGAAUUACCCCUGGUGGGGUUCCCGAGCGGCCAAAGGGAGCAGACUGUAAAUCUGCCGUCAUCGACUUCGAAGGUUCGAAUCCUUCCCCCACCACCAUCACUUUCAAAAGUCCCUGAACUUCCCAACGAAUCCGCAAUUAAAUAUUCUGCCCAUGCGGGGAAGGAUGAGAAGCUUCGACCAAGGUUCGACUCGAGCGCCAGCGAGAGAGCGUUGCCGCAGGCAACGACCCGAAGGGCGAAGCGCGCAGCGCUGAGUAAUCCUUCCCCCACCACCAUCACUUUCAAAAGUCCCUGAACUCUCAAGCGAAUCCGCAAUCAAAUAU